GGGGGUAUAGCUCAGUGGGAGAGCAUCUGCUUUGCACGCAGAGGGUCUAGGGUUCAAAUCCCUAUACUUCCA
rnacentral:tRNA from 1 species